rnacentral:lncRNA from 1 species
UAUGAAGUCACAUGGAGGUCUCGAGAUGAACAGUCGCUCCGCUGCUGAAGGCUGCGUAUAUGUAGGAUGGUGAUUCCGCAGAGCAGGCCCAUGUUGAACGUGGUUUCCUGGGCCUCACGCAGCGCUGACAAGCCCCCAGUUCCUGUGUGUGGAGCUGGUGCCACAGGGGUACAGGGAGAGAUGGUGCUAAUUGCCAACUUAGGGAGACCAGAGCUGUGCUUAGGAGCGAGCGGAUUUUCGGAAUUCAACUGGAAAAUGCAUAGUAAUUGCAGUCGUAUCGCCAUUCCCUCUUCCAGACCCCUUGUCUCUAGCUGUCACUUCGGGGUGCUCACCGGCCCCCCUCGUGUGACUCGGCCUCCAGAGGGACAGGAGAACCAGGGUAAUCUGCAGCGGCCGCCUUAGCGCGUCCACUCACGUGAUGCACACACAGAUCGGCAAGUCCUUGUCUUCCCUCCCAAUCUGCUCCUCUCUAUCCUUCGGUAGUUCAGUAAACGGUACAACCAUUUGUCCCAGCUUGUCACCUGGAGUCGCACCUGACCCCCUGCCCACACACACCUAGCCAAUCACCAGGCCACAGCGUUCUGUCUCCAUCCCCAUCUCGCAGCCCCCACUGUGAGCCC